rnacentral:rRNA from 1 species
UAUCUCUGUAGAGUCUGCAUAUCAAUAAGCGGAGGAAAAGAAACUAACAAGGAUUCCCCUAGUAACGGCGAGUGAAGCGGGAAGAGCUCCAAUUUGAAAUCUUCAAGGGUUUCCCUUGACGAAUUGUAGUUUAAAGAAGUGUUUUCUGCUAGAGAGGUGGUAAAAGUUCUUUGGAAUAGGACAUCAUAGAGGGUGAGAAUCCCGUAUUUGAUCACUUUCUACUAACGUUGUGAUACACUUUCAAAGAGUCGGAUUGUUUGGGAAUGCAGUCCAAAAUGGGUGGUAAAUUUCAUCUAAAGCUAAAUAUUGGCGAGAGACCGAUAGCGAACAAGUACCGUGAGGGAAAGAUGAAAAGAACUUUGAAAAGAGAGUUAAACAGUACGUGAAAUUGUCAAAAGGGAAGCGUUUGACACCAGUGUUGUUUUUCCGAAAAUCAAUUAAGAAUGUUUUAUUUUUGAGGAGUUAUGACUUCAUCGGCUUGCUCCUUUCUUUAUGGAACUUUCUUAAUGCACUUUUCGGUUAACAAGUCAACAUCAAUUUCUUUUGUUGUAAAAGAGUAUGAGGAAGGUGGCUUUCUUUUCGGAGAAAGUGUUUAUAGCCUUGUGCCUCUGCAAUCGGAGAGAUUGAGGUCUGCAGCGUAGAUCCUUCGGGGUUAGAUACAGUUUGUGCUAAGUUAUAGCCUUUCAUAGACAACUUGUUGACUAUGAUCAGUCAUGUAGCUUACUCGCUUAUGCUAUUUUACCUACGCUUAGGAUGUUGAGUAGCGACAUACGCAC